UACAGAGGGGUGCGAGUCGUUAAUCGGAAUUGCUAGGGGCGUAAACGUGCGUUAGACGGUUAUUUAGAUCGGGUGUGAAAGCCCCGGGCUCAACCUGGGAAUUGCAUUCGAGAACUGAAGUAGCUAGGGGUACGGGUAGAGGGAAAGUUGGAAUUUCCGGGUGUAGCGGUGAAAAUGCGUAGAUAUCGGAAGGAACAUCAGUGGC
rnacentral:rRNA from 1 species